AGUGAACGCUGGCGGUAGGCCUAACACAUGCAAGUCGAACGGCAGCACAGUAAGAGCUUGCUCUUACGGGUGGCGAGUGGCGGACGGGUGAGGAAUACAUCGGAAUCUACUUUUUCGUGGGGGAUAACGUAGGGAAACUUACGCUAAUACCGCAUGCGACCUACGGGUGAAAGCAGGGGAUCUUCGGACCUUGCGCGAUUGAAUGAGCCGAUGUCGGAUUAGCUAGUUGGCGGGGUAAAGGCCCACCAAGGCGACGAUCCGUAGCUGGUCUGAGAGGAUGAUCAGCCACACUGGAACUGAGACACGGUCCAGACUCCUACGGGAGGCAGCAGUGGGGAAUAUUGGACAAUGGGCGCAAGCCUGAUCCAGCCAUACCGCGUGGGUGAAGAAGGCCUUCGGGUUGUAAAGCCCUUUUGUUGGGAAAGAAAAGCAGCAGGUUAAUACCCCGCUGUUCACGGUACCCAAAGAAUAAGCACCGGCUAACUUCGUG
rnacentral:rRNA from 1 species